AGAGGUGUUGGUGUGAGCGCAAAGUCAGAUCGUCAUGUAUCCUGAGGAGUGAAGCCAAUAUACAUGAAAGCUGUUUGUACACAUGGCACCCGUGUGUGAUCCUAGUGGGAGGACUGUAAUGGAGACAUGUUAUGUUAAUAUAUGGAAAAUAUUCUCAUUCAGAAAACUUUAGAUUUAGACUAAACAGUGAAUAUGGUUACCAUUCAAACAUUAGCUGUAGCUUCAGCUAUCAAGCAGGUUGUACUGUGUUUGGUCUGAAAGCACCAGCAGAGCCCUUUUGCUUUUUACCAUUUACAAGAUUCAAAUAAUUAUUAAGGAGUUUUUAUUUUUGAUCGUUUAAGUUUAGAAUUUUAGUAUCAGUGCUCUCUAUUACAGUGUCAGAAAAGCCCCUGAAUGCACCAUCAUGUUUACUUCCUGUCCCGAUAAUUAUUGACCUACAAACCCAGCAUGUUGUCAAUGACAUUAACACACACACACACACACACACACACACACACACACACACACACACACACACACACACACACACACACACACAGAAGCAGCUGAGAUGACACCAACUGCAGCAGCAGCAGCAGUGUGGCUGCUCUGUGGUGGAGGAGGUUGUGGGAUUGAGGUGUUGUGGUGGGGGGUGGGUGGGCGGGGCUUCAUGGCAGACCCAUCCAGCCUGGAGAGCAGAGUUUCCUAUUUUUACCCCCACUCAACACCCUCAUAUCACAACAGCUGUCCCCACAGCUCUUGUCAGUCUCUGUCAGGAAUAACCGUCCAAUCAGAUCGCUCCCCCCUCCUCGGCCCGGUCGGUUCUCUCUCCAUUCUGUGCGUCUCGAGCCCCUCGAUCAGAUCUCCUGCACUUUGGACAGUUUUUUGAACUCAUCGCUGAUUCGAGUGGAUUCAGGAGUUGUGGAAUUACUUCACUGACAGCUCGCCUACAUCUCCUUCUCCUUCUCCUCCUCCUCCUCCUCCUCUUCCUCCUCCUGCUGUGAUCUGAUCCAUCACAGCCCAUGACAGCAGAUCAAACAACAUGGCAUUUUCAUCGCGCUUUUCAUUCUGGGAGUCAAAGGGAAGUCUCAUUUGGACUUUUUUUUAAAACUCCAACACUGCAUGGUGUUAGAGUGUUUUAACUAACAUGUGUGUCCAUAGAUUCCUCUGUACCGGUAUGACACUAGAAGACGUGAUCGCUUUCACUCGUAAUUAUAAGCACACAUUCACUAACCAAUUUGCUGUGACUUGGCACCAAACAUGCAAUUGGCCGGACACUUACCAAGUGCACUUCCAAUUCAAUGACAGUUUUCAUUUCAAGAUAUUUAAACAGUAGGACAUUUUGUAUCCAAGGUUCUUUGUAGGGAAAAUAUAAUCUUGAUGCAGAAGAUAAGCAUGCUUUUGACUUGCAUGGUGUGUGAUGGACAACAACCAUAUAAGGUGUUCAGAUUUUGAUCUGGUUUUCUUUUUUAUAUUAUCGUAUUUAGAUCAAAGAGGAGAAUACUCCAGAAUCUAAAAGUCCAGAAAGUGAUGGGUCACUCAGCAGGGCCAAAUCAGUACCAGCUCUAGACCCUGGCCGGGGGUUAUUCCGGGCAAAAAGUCCCCCAACAGUUUCUCCCACGGAGUCACUAGCCCGGGUCAGGAGUCCCUCCCCACC